rnacentral:rRNA from 1 species
AUGAACGCUAGCUACAGGCUUAACACAUGCAAGUCGAGGGGCAGCAUUGGAGUAGCAAUACUCAGAUGGCGACCGGCGCACGGGUGAGUAACACGUAUGCAACCUGCCUGUAAGCGGGGAAUAACCCGUUGAAAGACGGACUAAUACCGCAUAAUACUAAAUUACUGCAUGGUAAUUUAUUUAAACAUUUAUGGCUUACAGAUGGGCAUGCGCAUGAUUAGCUAGUUGGAGAGGUAACGGCUCCCCAAGGCAACGAUCAUUAGGGGUUCUGAGAGGAAGGUCCCCCCACACUGGUACUGAGACACGGACCAGACUCCUACGGGAGGCAGCAGUGAGGAAUAUUGGUCAAUGGACGAGAGUCUGAACCAGCCAAGUCGCGUGCAGGAAGAAUUGUCCUAUGGAUUGUAAACUGCUUUUGCAGGGGAAUAAAGUGCAUCACGUGUGAUGUUUUGUAUGUACUCUGCGAAUAAGGAUCGGCUAACUCCGUGCCAGCCGCCGC